CGGUGAUAAACCGGAGGAAGGUGGGGACGACGUCAAGUCAUCAUGGCCUUUAUGGGUAGGGCUACACACGUGCUACAAUGGGACAUACAGAGGGAAGCCAACCCGCGAGGGGGAGCCAAUCCUUUAAAAUGUCUCGUAGUCCGGAUUGGAGUCUGCAACUCGACUCCAUGAAGUUGGAAUCGCUAGUAAUCGCGAAUCAGCAAGUCGCGGUGAAUACGUUCUCGGGCCUUGUACACACCGCCCGUCACACCAUGGGAGUGGGUUUUACCAGAAGGCGGUAGAUUAACCUUUUCGGAGGGGAUCGCCGACCACGGUAAGAUUCAUGACUGGGGUGAAGUCGUAACAAGGUAGCCGUAGGGGAACCUGCGGCUGGAUCACCUCCUU
rnacentral:rRNA from 1 species